rnacentral:lncRNA from 1 species
AUCAUAGAAGAGGAUCUGAGGAACAAUGCAUGGACUACCAUCGCACAGGACUAGAGAAAGCAAAGAGGUGAUGGGAGAACUCUUUCUCCUUCUUUUUUCUCUUUCUUUCUUGCUGAUCUCUCUCUCUAUGUGUGGCCGACCAAGGGGGCUUGGGCAUGCGGAUUAAGGAAUAAAGGAAGAGGAGGGGGCAGCACAAUAUGGAUACACUAAUCUUGAUUAUUCUCCAUGCCCAAGAGUCUAUUCCUUUUAUAGAUGGUAGCCAAGGAGAUUAGAUGAAGUUCAACUAUUUUUAAGCUCUUAUCUAAUAAGAGUUUGAAGUUC